CAGCCGCCGCGGUAAUGCGAGGGGUGCAAGCGUUACUCGGAAUUACUGGGCGUAAAGCGUGCGUAGGUGGUUCGUUAAGUCUGAUGUGAAAGCCCUGGGCUCAACCUGGGAAUUGCAUUGGAUACUGGCGAGCUAGAGUGCGGUAGAGGGUAGUGGAAUUCCCGGUGUAGCAGUGAAAUGCGUAGAGAUCGGGAGGAACAUCUGUGGCGAAGGCGACUGCCUGGACCAGCACUGACACUGAGGCACGAAAGCGUGGGGAGCAAACAGGAUUAGAUACCCCAGUAGUCCCUGUCUCUUAUAC
rnacentral:rRNA from 1 species